CAACAAUACAAGGUCAAGGAGUUUGUUUUGGAACUUGUGAUGGUUUAUUGGCAUAGUAUCAGGAUAACGAAAUAUCUUCAAAAAGGAAAUACUACAAUAUAGGCUACAUGCAUGAUUAUUGAAAAAAGAGCCAAGUGCAAGGUCAAUCUCCUGGUGCAUGAAAUAGCUCGAAAGUUCGAUCGAUACAUUAAAAUAAUUACAGCCCUCGUCCAGUUCAUCUUUUAGGCAUAACAAUACACAUUAUACACCUGAUGUAAAAACGCACAAGUUGUUAUACAGGUCUGCAAAUACGUUGUCACAAAUCUGUUCACAAGCUGUCGACAAGUUUCUAUAGUUGUUGGAACAAGUUUGGAACAAGCUGUUAUAUAACAACUUGUAAUAAGCUUGAUGGUAUUAUCAAACUGUUACAAGGUUGUUCUAACAAGCUUCAUACAGUCAUGAUAUAACAAGAAUGUUAUACAAGGUUGUCGACAGAAGGUUGUAACAAUAUUGUUGUUUUAUGACUGUAUCAGACUUGUCGGAACAACUUUGCGACAAGUCUGAUAACAUCAACAAGGUUGUUACAACUGUUAAACAAGUUGUUCCAAAUAUUCUUGACAACUUGGGACGCGACAAGCAGUGCGAACACAACUUGUUGACGGCUUUUUGGGACAGAAGUGAGAAAAUUCUUACCUAUUUACAACAAUUGUUAAAAAAAAAAAACUUUGCCAUAUACUGCAUCAUAUAACAUAGUUGCCAACUUUGGGAAAAAAAACAUCCGUGAGAUUUUGCUUGGGGGGCACGAGGCGCCACCAUGCAUGGUUUGCGCCGAUCGGGAAAAUUUUGAAAAUAUGGAGCCUCUAGAUCGUUGGAAAUGGCAUUUUCAGAGUCUUCUAUACCUUAUACGCAGAAAUUUUGGUAACUUUUAUUUAGAUAUCUCGAACUCAUUAAUAAUUCAUGAGCAAAUUAGCGAAUGAACUCACCCUAAUUCGUCACAUGAUUGAGGUUGGAUACCGCAAGGAAACACGCUAAAAAUCAUAUACCAUCACUGUUGUUAGAUGAAAAACGGUUUUCAUCUAAUAACUGAGAUCCUAAUUACAAAUUCAAGUCAAAACACAACAAUAUACUAUAAUAAUAUAUAUAAGCCAAUGAAAUGUUUUCGUUCGAGAUGUUGUAUAAACAACUCGUUUCUCGUGUUUCAUCAGGGGACCAAAC